GACGAGCGCUGGCGGCGUGCUUAACACAUGCAAGUCGAACGGAAAGGCCCUGCUUUUGUGGGGUGCUCGAGUGGCGAACGGGUGAGUAACACGUGAGUAACCUGCCCUUGACUUUGGGAUAACUUCAGGAAACUGGGGCUAAUACCGGAUAGGAGCUCCUGCUGCAUGGUGGGGGUUGGAAAGUUUCGGCGGUUGGGGAUGGACUCGCGGCUUAUCAGCUUGUUGGUGGGGUAGUGGCUUACCAAGGCUUUGACGGGUAGCCGGCCUGAGAGGGUGACCGGCCAAAUUGGGACUGAGAUACGGCCCAGACUCCUACGGGAGGCAGCAGUGGGGAAUAUUGCACAAUGGGCGGAAGCCUGAUGCAGCAACGCCGCGUGCGGGAUGACGGCCUUCGGGUUGUAAACCGCUUUCGCCUGUGACGAAGCGUGAGGGACGGUAAUGGGUAAAGAAGCACCGGCUAACUACGUG
rnacentral:rRNA from 1 species